rnacentral:rRNA from 1 species
CCUUGACAUACUAAGAACUUUCCAGAGAUGGAUUGGUGCCUUCGGGAACUUAGAUACAGGUGCUGCAUGGCUGUCGUCAGCUCGUGUCGUGAGAUGUUGGGUUAAGUCCCGNAACGAGCGCAACCCUUUUCCUUAUUUGCCAGCGGGUCAUGCCGGGAACUUUAAGGAUACUGCCAGUGACAAACUGGAGGAAGGCGGGGACGACGUCAAGUCAUCAUGGCCCUUACGGCCAGGGCUACACACGUGCUACAAUGGUCGGUACAAAGGGUUGCUACCUCGCGAGAGGAUGCUAAUCUCAAAAAGCCGAUCGUAGUCCGGAUCGCAGUCUGCAACUCGACUGCGUGAAGUCGGAAUCGCUAGUAAUCGCGGAUCAGGAUGCCGCGGUGAAUACGUUCCCGGGCCUUGUACACACCGCCCGUCACACCAUGGGAGUUUGUUGCACCAGAAGUAGGUAGUCUAACCGCAAGGAGGACGCUUACCACGGUGUGGCCGAUGACUGGGGUGAAGUCGUAACAAGGUAAGCGUAGAUGA